GACGAACGCUGGCGGCGUGCCUAAUACAUGCAAGUAGAACGCUGAAGGAGGAGCUUGCUUCUCCGGAUGAGUUGCGAACGGGUGAGUAACGCGUAGGUAACCUGCCUGGUAGCGGGGGAUAACUAUUGGAAACGAUAGCUAAUACCGCAUAACAGUAGAUGUUGCAUGACAUUUGCUUAAAAGUUGCAAUUGCAUCACUACCGGAUGGACCUGCGUUGUAUUAGCUAGUUGGUGAGGUAACGGCUCACCAAGGCGACGAUACAUAGCCGACCUGAGAGGGUGAUCGGCCACACUGAGACUGAGACACGGCCCAGACGCCUACGGGAGGCAGCAGUAGGGAAUCUUCGGCAAUGGACGGAAGUCUGACCGAGCAACGCCGCGUGAGUGAGGAAGGUUGUCGGAUCGUAGAGCUCUGUUGUAAGAGAAGAACGAGUGUGAGAGUGGAAAGUUCACACUGUGACGGUAUCUGACCAGAAAGGGACGGCUAACUACGUG
rnacentral:rRNA from 1 species